CAGCUGUGUAGCGCACAGAAGCCGUUGCCAUGGUUACUCUCAAUACAGCGCCUGCCGUUUACACACGCUGCAUCCAAGUAGUCUGCCGAAGCCUCCUGUAGAAAAUCCUCCUUCCUGACAAUUCCAGGGGGGCGGAGCUUAGCCACAACCUGUCAGGCCACACCUGAACUGAUAAAAGGCCUGAUGAGGCCCUGCUCAGUCCUUUCCAUUUGUUUGCUGCAGCAUGUGGGUUAACAUGAAGCCUCGCUAAUCCUUCCCAGUUGACUGUGUACUGGAUGCAUUACUUGACUGUAAUCAUCUGUCAGUCAACUGUUGAAGUGGGAAACUAAGGACAAUAAACUGUUGAACGGCUCUCA